rnacentral:rRNA from 1 species
AUGAACGCUGGCGGCGCGCCUAACACAUGCAAGUCGAACGGCACCCCUCUCCGGAGGGAAGCGAGUGGCGAACGGCUGAGUAACACGUGGAGAACCUGCCCCCUCCCCCGGGAUAGCCGCCCGAAAGGACGGGUAAUACCGGAUACCCCGGGGUGCCGCAUGGCACCCCGGCUAAAGCCCCGACGGGAGGGGAUGGCUCCGCGGCCCAUCAGGUAGACGGCGGGGUGACGGCCCACCGUGCCGACAACGGGUAGCCGGGUUGAGAGACCGACCGGCCAGAUUGGGACUGAGACACGGCCCAGACUCCUACGGGAGGCAGCAGUGGGGAAUCUUGCGCAAUGGGGGGAACCCUGACGCAGCGACGCCGCGUGCGGGACGGAGGCCUUCGGGUCGUAAACCGCUUUCAGCAGGGAAGAGUCAAGACUGUACCUGCAGAAGAAGCCCCGGCUAACUACGUGCCAGCAGCCGCGGUAAUACGUAGGGGGCGAGCGUUAUCCGGAUUCAUUGGGCGUAAAGCGCGCGUAGGCGGCCCGGCAGGCCGGGGGUCGAAGCGGGGGGCUCAACCCCCCGAAGCCCCCGGAACCUCCGCGGCUUGGGUCCGGUAGGGGAGGGUGGAACACCCGGUGUAGCGGUGGAAUGCGCAGAUAUCGGGUGGAACACCGGUGGCGAAGGCGGCCCUCUGGGCCGAGACCGACGCUGAGGCGCGAAAGCUGGGGGAGCGAACAGGAUUAGAUACCCUGGUAGUCCCAGCCGUAAACGAUGGACGCUAGGUGUGGGGGGACGAUCCCCCCGUGCCGCAGCCAACGCAUUAAGCGUCCCGCCUGGGGAGUACGGCCGCAAGGCUAAAACUCAAAGGAAUUGACUGGGGCCCGCACAAGCAGCGGAGCAUGUGGCUUAAUUCGAAGCAACGCGAAGAACCUUACCAGGGCUUGACAUAUGGGUGAAGCGGGGGAGACCCCGUGGCCGAGAGGAGCCCAUACAGGUGGUGCAUGGCUGUCGUCAGCUCGUGUCGUGAGAUGUUGGGUUAAGUCCCGCAACGAGCGCAACCCCUAUUGUUAGUUGCUACGAAAGAGCACUCUAGCGAGACUGCCGUUGACAAAACGGAGGAAGGCGGGGACGACGUCAAGUCAUCAUGCCCCUUAUGACCUGGGCUACACACGUACUACAAUGGUCGGAAACAGGGGGAAGCGAAGCCGCGAGGCAGAGCAAACCCCAGAAACCCGAUCUCAGUUCGGAUCGCAGGCUGCAACCCGCCUGCGUGAAGUAGGAAUCGCUAGUAAUCGCGGGUCAGCAUACCGCGGUGAAUACGUUCCCGGGCCUUGUACACACCGCCCGUCACACCAUGAGAGUUGGGAAUACCCGAAGCCUGUGAGCCAACUGUAAAGAGGCAGCAGUCGAAGGUAGAAUCAAUGAUUGGGGUG